rnacentral:rRNA from 1 species
GACGAACGCUGGCGGCGUGCCUAAUACAUGCAAGUAGAACGCACAGUUUAUACCGUAGCUUGCUACACCAUAGACUGUGAGUUGCGAACGGGUGAGUAACGCGUAGGUAACCUGCCUGGUAGCGGGGGAUAACUAUUGGAAACGAUAGCUAAUACCGCAUAAUAUUAAUUAUUGCAUGAUAAUUGAUUGAAAGAUGCAACUGCAUCACUACCAGAUGGACCUGCGUUGUAUUAGCUAGUAGGUGGGGUAACGGCUCACCUAGGCGACGAUACAUAGCCGACCUGAGAGGGUGAUCGGCCACACUGGGACUGAGACACGGCCCAGACUCCUACGGGAGGCAGCAGUAGGGAAUCUUCGGCAAUGGACGAAAGUCUGACCGAGCAACGCCGCGGGAGUGAAGAAGGUUUUCGGAUCGUAAAGCUCUGUUGUAAGAGAAGAACGGGUGUGAGAGUGGAAAGUUCACACUGUGACGGUAUCUUACCAGAAAGGGACGGCUAACUACGUG